CCCUAAAGCACCGGUGUCUACUACAACACUGGCCAGAUGGGUCUGCUGGCUUUUAUCGUUAGCUGGCGUUGAACCAUGCUUUGGGGCCCACUCAGUCAGGGGUGCGGCCGCUUCACAAGCUUUCUCGGUAGGAGCCACUCUUGCCGACAUUAUGCGUUGUGCGGAUUGGAAGCACAAGAGUACUUUCAGGAAGUUUUAUUUUCGGCAGACUUCUCAUGCCUCUUUUACGUUGAUUAAUUCUUAGCGUUAAAAAUGCAAAUAUGAAGCCUCCUGUCAUGUGGUAAAAUUGUAGAUUAUGCUAACGUAGUGUACCUAUAAUCUUAAUUUUAGUAAUGACAGGAUGCGAAUAUUUCCCACCCUAUUUUUCCCUCCCGAAUUAUAGAAAUGGUUAUGUAACGUUAUAUAUAUUUUUCACUGAUUGAACUUUAUAAGAUGGUUAUGUAUCACAAUUACAUAACUUUGACGUUUCAGGAUUAGUUUUUUCUUGCUAUCAUGACAUACAUAAUAGUUGUUACAAAGUCUUUGAUGUUCAUUAUAUGCGGGCAACUUGCCAAUUCAGAUGCCUUUCACUUUUUUCUUUUUCUUUCAGUGUGAUUGGUUAUCUCUGAAGGAGGGAAUCACCUUUUCUGUUCAAUUACCUGAAGUUCCUACCGGAUUUGGGAUGACAUUGUUGGAUUUAAAGGAUCACUAUAG